UAUGUGUGCGGGUUGCGUGAUGAGCUUGCUGCGUUUUCUGUGCCCUUUGCCUCGCUGUGACAUCUUUGGUAUAUUACAACUUAUUGCUCGGUCUUAAUGGGCUACACGUUGCCUCGAAGAUCACCAUGAUCGCCUCCGACUCAGCCACAUCGAAGAAUCAAAAUGAGCCUGGAGACGCCACAGCCGGAAUGCGAAUGGUUGGAGAAGUGCUCAUUCAGAUGAUCCUGGCACAGCUUGCCAUGGUGGACCAGGCAAGUUUGCAAGGGCCUUGAUUCACCAUGUGUUCACAGAGAACCUCAUGGGCCACUCACUUCUCGCAAACA